rnacentral:rRNA from 1 species
UACGAAGGGGGCUAGCGUUGCUCGGAAUCACUGGGCGUAAAGCGCACGUAGGCGGAUCGCUAAGUCAGGGGUGAAAUCCUGGAGCUCAACUCCAGAACUGCCUUUGAUAUUGGCAAUCUCGAGUCCGGGAGAGGUGAGUGGAACUGCGAGUGUAGAGGUGAAAUUCGUAGAUAUUCGCAAGAACACCAGUGGCGAAGGCGGCUCACUGGCCCGGUACUGACGCUGAGGCACGAAAGCGUGGGGAGCGAACAGG